CGGCCGUUGCGACGAGCUGCAUUGCUGAUUCUUCGCUUGAGACUGGCAAUUGUCGAGCGGGUUGCAUCCGUUGUUACGUUGCCCGAAGACAGUAGUAAAUGUGAUUUGCAGGGUGCAAGCAACGUGUCAUUGUGGUUAGAAAAAAUGAAUCAGUAUACAUGUGAUUUAACUGUCAAAGCCGGAAUGUUUAAAGCAUACAUCCCGCCCAAGGCAUGCUGGGAUGAUCUCCUAUCAGGCAGCUUGGAAACUUCCAGACGUCGAUAUGCCUUACGUUCGGUGCAGCCGAGGUUAUGAACUUUCAAGUGGAAUAUGCCCCUUGAG